AACGCACAUUGCGCCUCCUGGUAUUCCGGGAGGCAUGCCUGUUCGAGCGUCAUCAAAAACCUCAACCCAUGAUUUAUUGUGAGUUGGUUCUGCAUUGGACUCCUUGUGGGUCCUUUGCGAAAUCCAAUGGCGAAGAGCCACGCAACCAAAGCGUAGUAUAACUAUUUCGUUAUGGAAGCGUGGGUGCCUCUGCCGUAACCCCCAAUUUCUUAGUUUUUGACCUCGGAUCAGGUAGGGAUACCCGCUGAACUUAA
rnacentral:misc_RNA from 1 species